UAAAUAAUAAGCAGAUAGAAAACUCCUGCAAUUGGAUUUUUCUAGUUCUGUUUGAUUUCAUCUUUAUAUGUAAAAAUAUAUAUGUGAAUCAUUGUAUUUACCUGCGUAAGAAUUAGUUUUUGUGGCAAAUGGUUUAACUUUGUUUCACUGUCAAUGUUGAAUUGUGUUCUUUUUAAAAACUGAACACGCCUUAUUCACACGUUAUCCAGUU
rnacentral:lncRNA from 1 species